rnacentral:lncRNA from 1 species
AUAAACCUGCUCUCCUAGGAGACCUGAAGGCUGCUUCCGCUAACCCGGGCUGGCGCUGCUAACCUCACCCAACGAUCCCUGCUGUCGGAAAAUGUCCAGAGGCACCAUCCCUGCUAUGAAGAGGGAAUGCCAGUACAACAGCCACAAGGGGUCUUCCUGUGGCCCUCAAACAAAAAAUCACUGCAUUACAUCAGCAGACUGCAUUGGAGAGAAAGGCGCCGGGACAGAAAAGCCUGAGAUAAACCACCUGUCAUUCUUGGAGAAAAGGAUGCUGCGGCUUUCCCGAUUUGGUUGAUGAGAUGGAAAAUCAACCCUUACAGGAAGGACAUCACCAAUUCCGGAAAGGAUGCUGCGCCAGUCAUGUUUCCGCACUCUGUGAGACGUUGAAAUCUCCAGAAGUUGCCCAAGGUUUUCAAGCUGAACACAGGAGAAAUGACUCUGGAUCUCUGAGGACUGUUUUCCUCAAUAAGGAGCUGCAAUCUUGGCUCCACCACCCUCCCUCCAAAACAUCUCGUGUGUCUGGUAUCUGGUUAUAUUGUGGCCUGACAGAGAAGUUUCUUUCGGGGCCAGUGAAUUAAAAAAAAAAAAAAAAAGAAAAGCGGGUCCUACCAACUCAUUAAUACUUUAAUACUUUAAAUUUCCCUCUUUAUAGUAGGUUGAAAUGUCAGUAUCUCUUAAGAACAAUGGCUGAACCAAAUGUUUCCUCAAAACUCACAUUUUUUCCCACCAUUUCAGAAGCUGCCUCAGGACUAAGCUUUGAUUUUUUUUUUUUUUUUUAAUCUGGCCCAAAUUCCUAUCUAAGGGGCCUGGGGAGUCAUGCCCAACAAACCAUAAAUUCUCAUCAGAUGAGUUUUAUUUAACCCUAUAUAUGGUGACUUGCUUUCCAGUCUGACUCUGGCAUGACAUGUGACAAAGAAGAAAGUCAAAAUAUUUUACCCCAAAACAUGUUUCUUUGCCAUAUUUUGAAAUGGUCCUGCAAAGCUGUGCUUUGUGGGGGAAAAUAUGCAUCUGUAAAGAAUCUCUAUUAACACAGCUAGAUCUUUUUCUUCCAGGCCCUCCCAAUCCUGAAGAGACUGAGAGUCUAGCAUUGUUUUAAAGGUCUGAAUAGGAAACAUUUGUCAUCUAUCAUCUCUAAGGGUAGCCAUUAUAAGACUUCAAAAGAACCUUUUGAAGUAUUAUAAUCUUUUAUCUUAACCUGAACAUGUGCUUCCUAUUGAUCCCAGGUCUUCAGACAAUUGUGAACUCAACCAUUUGUCAAUUAGAAAAUGUUUAAAUUGGCUGGGCACAGUGUCUCAUGCCUCUAAUCCCAGCACUUUGGAAGACCAAGGCGGGCAGAUUGCCUGACCUCAGGAGUUCGAGACCAGCCUGGGCAACAUGGUGAAACCCCGUCUCUACUAAAAUACAAAAAUUUAGCCGGGCGUAGUGGCAUGCACCUGUAGUCCCAGCUACUUGGGAAGCUGAGGAAGGAGAAUUGCUUGAACCCGGCGGGCAGAGGUUGCAGUAAGCAGAGAUCGUGCCACUGCACUCCAGCUUGGGCAACAAAGUGAGACUCCAUCACAGAAAAAAAAAAGAAAAUGUUUACCUUUACCUAUAGCCUGGAAAUCCCUGCUUUGAGUUGCUCCAUCUUUCUGAACCAAACCAAUGUUAUUUCUUAAACGUAUUUCAUUGAUGUCUCAUGCCUCCCUAAAAUGUAUAAAACCAAGCUGUGCCCCGAACACCUUGGGCACAUGUUCUCAGGACCUCCUGAGGGCCGUGUCACGGGUCAUAAUCACUCAUAUUUGGCUCAGAAUAAAUCUCUUCAAACAUUUUACAGAGUUGACUCUUAGUCAACAUGUCCAUACCUGAUGAGAUGCUUCAUCAAAAUUCUAGUGGACUGGCUAGUUCAGAAAAUGGACCAGCCAGGUUUGCUUAAAUGCACCCCUGCACAACUAUCUCACUCCUGCUUGGAGCCGGCUAGAUCAGGAGACCUGUCCCUAAACUAAUGUACUCCAUGUCUUAAGUCUUUUUGUUUUGUUUUGUUUUUGUUUUUGACAGAGUCUCAGUCUGUCACCCAGGCUGGAGUGCAGUGGCGUGAUCUUGGCUCGCUGCAACCUCCGCCUCCCAGGUUCAAGAGAUUCUCCUGUCUCAGCCUCCCAAGUAGCUGGGACAACAGGUGUGCACCACCAUGCCCUGCUAAUUUUUGUGUUUUAAGUAGAGAUGGGGUCUCACCCUGUUGGCCAGGCUGGUCUCAAAUUCCUGACCUCAGGUGAUCCACCCACCUCGGCCUCCCAAAGUGCUGUAAUUACAGGCAUGAGCCACCGCACCCAGCCCAUGUGUCUUGGUCUUUUUUACUAAUAUUGAUUAUAAAAUGGAUGAAACUUUGGAUAAAAUUUCUGCGUUAGAAUUUCUUUUUAUAUCUGUCCUAAAGCUUGUAACUACUUGCUCAUGAUUUUUUGUGUAUGUUUAGCAAUGUGCAUGUCAUUGAUGGCCUUUGUAAAGUAUGUUCAAUUGAGUUGUGGAGACAGAGGUGCAAUUGGAGUAGGUUGUAAGAAUAAAAAGGAGUAGGC